UCCGUCGUGAAGAGGGAAACAACCCAGACCGCCAGCUAAGGUCCCAAAGUCAUGGUUAAGUGGGAAACGAUGUGGGAAGGCCCAGACAGCCAGGAUGUUGGCUUAGAAGCAGCCAUCAUUUAAAGAAAGCGUAAUAGCUCACUGGUCGAGUCGGCCUGCGCGGAAGAUGUAACGGGGCUAAACCAUGCACCGAAGCUGCGGCAGCGACGCUUAUGCGUUGUUGGGUAGGGGAGCGUUCUGUAAGCCUGCGAAGGUGGCCUGUGAGGGUUGCUGGAGGUAUCAGAAGUGCGAAUGCUGACAUAAGUAACGAUAAAGCGGGUGAAAAGCCCGCUCGCCGGAAGACCAAGGGUUCCUGUCCAACGUUAAUCGGGGCAGGGUGAGUCGACCCCUAAGGCGAGGCCGAAAGGCGUAGUCGAUGGGAAAC
rnacentral:rRNA from 1 species